CCUACGGGAGGCAGCAGUGAGGAAUAUUGGUCAAUGGUCGGAAGACUGAACCAGCCAAGUAGCGUGCAGGAUGACGGCCCUACGGGUUGUAAACUGCUUUUAUACGGGGAUAAAACGCCUUACGUGUAGUGCUUUGUAUGUACCGCAUGAAUAAGGACCGGCUAAUUCCGUGCCAGCAGCCGCGGUAAUACGGAAGGUCCGGGCGUUAUCCGGAUUUAUUGGGUUUAAAGGGAGCGUAGGCCGCAUGUUAAGCGUGCUGUGAAAUGGCGGGGCUCAACCCGGGCCCUGCAGCGCGAACUGGCUUGCUUGAGUGCGCGGAACGCAGGCGGAAUUCGUGGUGUAGCGGUGAAAUGCUUAGAUAUCACGAAGAACUCCGAUUGCGAAGGCAGCUUGCGGCAGCGCAACUGACGCUGAUGCUCGAAGGCGCGGGUAUCGAACAGGAUUAGAUACCCUUGUAGUC
rnacentral:rRNA from 1 species